UAGGGUUUGAUUAUGGCUCAGAACGUACGCUGGCGGCACGCCUAACACAUGCAAGUCGAACGAAGUAGCAAUACUUAUUGGCAGACGGGUGAGUAACAUGUAGGUAUCUGCCCUUUGGCCUGGAAUAACACGAGGAAACUUGUGCUAAUACCGGAUAAGUCUUUACGGAGAAAGCUUUAUGCACCAUUGGAUGAGCCUGCACUUGAUUAGUUUGUUGGUGGGGUAAUGGCCUACCAAGACUGUGAUCAAUAGCUGAUUUGAGAGGAUGAUCAGCCACAUUGGGACUGAGACACGGCCCAAACUCCUACGGGAGGCAGCAGUGGGGAAUCUUGCACAAUGGAGGAAACUCUGAUGCAGCGAUGCCGCGUGAGUGAAGAAGGCCCUUGGGUUGUAAAGCUCUUUCGUCGGGGAAGAAAAUGACUGUACCCGAAUAAGAAGGUCCGGCUAACUUCGUGCCAGCAGCCGCGGUAAUACGAAGGGACCUAGCGUAGUUCGGAAUUACUGGGCUUAAAGAGUUCGUAGGUGGUUGAAAAAGUUAGUGGUGAAAUCCCAGAGCUUAACUCUGGAACUGCCAUUAAAACUUUUCAGCUAGAGUACGAUAGAGGAAAGCAGAAUUUCUAGUGUAGAGGUGAAAUUCGUAGAUAUUAGAAAGAAUACCAAUUGCGAAGGCAGCUUUCUGGAUCAUUACUGACACUGAGGAACGAAAGCAUGGGUAGCGAAGAGGAUUAGAUACCCUCGUAGUCCAUGCCGUAAACGAUGUGUGUUAGACGUUGGAAAUUUAUUUUCAGUGUCGCAGGGAAACCGAUAAACACACCGCCUGGGGAGUACGACCGCAAGGUUAAAACUCAAAUGAAUUGACGGGGACCCGCACAAGUAGUGGAGCAUGUGGUUUAAUUCGAAGAUACGCGCAGAACCUUACCAACACUUGACAUGUUCGUCGCGACUCUAAGAGAUUAGAGUUUUCGGUUCGGCCGGACGAAACACAGGUGCUGCAUGGCUGUCGCCAGCUCGUGUCGUGAGAUGUUGGGUUAAGUCCCGCAACGAGCGCAACCCUCACUUUUAGUUGCCAUCAUUAAGUUGGGCACUCUGAAAGAACUGCCAGUGAUAAGCUGGAGGAAGGUGGGGAUGACGUCAAGUCCUCAUGGCCCUUACGUGUUGGGCUACACACGUGCUACAAUGGUAUCUACAACAGGAAGCAAGACUGCGAAGUUAAGCAAAUCCCUAAAAGAUACCUCAGUUCGGAUUGCACUCUGCAACUCGAGUGCAUGAAGCUGGAAUUACUAGUAAUCGUGGAUCAGCGUGCCACGGUGAAUGCGUUCCCGGGUCUUGUACACACCGCCCGUCACACCAUGGGAGUUGGUUCUACCUUAAGGCAAGGUUUCAAACCCUUGACCACGGUAUAGUCAGCGACUGGGGUGAAGUCGUAACAAGGUAGCC
rnacentral:rRNA from 1 species